UACGUAGGUGGCGAGCGUUAUCCGGAUUUAUUGGGCGUAAAGCGUGCGCAGACGGUUUGUUAAGUCCAAAAUGAAAGCCCGAAGCUCAACUUCGGUUUGUUUUGGAAACUGGCAGGCUUGAGUAUAGUAGAGGUAAACGGAAUUUCUAGUGUAGCGGUAAAAUGUGUAGAUAUUAGAAGGAACACCAGUGGCGAAGGCGGUUUACUGGGCUAUUACUGACGUUCAUGCACGAAAGCGUGGGGAGCAAAUA
rnacentral:rRNA from 1 species